UACGUAGGGACCGAGCGUUGUCCGGAUUCAUUGGGCGUAAAGGGCUCGUAGGCGGUCUGUUGCGUCAGGAGUGAAAACCCGGGGCUCAACCCCGGGCCUGCAGUCGAUACGGGCAGACUAGAGUGCGGUAGGGGAGACUGGAAUUCCUGGUGUAGCGGUGAAAUGCGCAGAUAUCAGGAGGAACACCGGUGGCGAAGGCGGGUCUCUGGGCCGUAACUGACGCUGAGGAGCGAAAGCGUGGGGAGCGAACAGG
rnacentral:rRNA from 1 species